rnacentral:rRNA from 1 species
ACAUACGGGUCAGGGGACGGGUGAGUAAUGCCUAGGAAAUUGCCCUGAUGUGGGGGAUAACCAUUGGAAACGAUGGCUAAUACCGCAUAAUAGCCUACGGGUCAAAGAGGGGGACCUUCGGGCCUCUCGCGUCAGGAUAUGCCUAGGUGGGAUUAGCUAGUUGGUGAGGUAAUGGCUCACCAAGGCGACGAUCCCUAGCUGGUCUGAGAGGAUGAUCAGCCACACUGGAACUGAGACACGGUCCAGACUCCUACGGGAGGCAGCAGUGGGGAAUAUUGCACAAUGGGCGCAAGCCUGAUGCAGCCAUGCCGCGUGUGUGAAGAAGGCCUUCGGGUUGUAAAGCACUUUCAGUCGUGAGGAAGGUGGUGUAGUUAAUAGCUGCAUUAUUUGACGUUAGCGACAGAAGAAGCACCGGCUAACUCCGUGCCAGCAGCCGCGGUAAUACGGAGGGUGCGAGCGUUAAUCGGAAUUACUGGGCGUAAAGCGCAUGCAGGUGGUUUGUUAAGUCAGAUGUGAAAGCCCGGGGCUCAACCUCGGAAUAGCAUUUGAAACUGGCAGACUAGAGUACUGUAGAGGGGGGUAGAAUUUCAGGUGUAGCGGUGAAAUGCGUAGAGAUCUGAAGGAAUACCGGUGGCGAAGGCGGCCCCUGGACAGAUACUGACACUCAGAUGCGAAAGCGUGGGGAGCAAACAGGAUUAGAUACCCUGGUAGUCCACGCCGUAAACGAUGUCUACUUGGAGGUUGUGGCUUUGAGCCGUGGCUUUCGGAGCUAACGCGUUAAGUAGACCGCCUGGGGAGUACGGUCGCAAGAUUAAAACUCAAAUGAAUUUGACGGGGGCCCGCACAAGCGGUGGAGCAUGUGGUUUAAUUUCNAUGCAACGCGAAGAACCCUUACCUACUCUUUGACAUCCANAGAACUUUCCANANAUGGAUUUGGNGCCUUCGGGAACUCUGA